GAUUGAAAUUUGACUUGAGCUCAAAUGAUCUGAGCUGGAUAAUUUGUUUUAUGUAUCAGCUUGAUAUAGCCCACAUUAUAAAUGUGCCGAUAAAUAUACUUUUUGUGGUAUGUAGAUAGAUAGAUGUUGCUCUUGAUCUCCGUGCCUAAGAUCGGACAGCCGAGGUGAAUAUGGCUAAAGUAACACUAUUGCUGGAGCUUCGUUCGAGUACCUACAAAAAGUCCUCAUCGGAGUAUUCUUCGGUGAAGAUCUUCUGACACUCAAAUCAGGAGAUGGAGAACAAUGAGAAGAGAGAGUGGUAUUGUGAAACUUACUUUGAGGAUCUAUGUGCCCCUUAUUUAUAGGAGAGAAAUCGAAGUCGUAUACAUCUCGGAGUCUUGAUUGUUCUUCGGAUUUGAUAUGCAGAUUGGUUUAGAGAGAAUUCUUUUCUUUGUGGGAGGCUCGAUCGCGGAGGAAUCUUUCUUUAUCUAGACUUUUUCAAUUUAGCAGAGAGAUGAAUUCUGUAAUAUUGGAAGAACAUAGCUCGAACAUGGAUGACCUUAAAUAGCUCGUCCGCAGUCGAGAUGAGGUCCUCGAUAAGGAUUGAGGACAGUCGCUAUCAGCUCGAUAUGGUGUGUUCAGCAAUCUUUGGGUCUAUUGCAUAUACGUGAUCUGGCUAGUUCCCAUCUUCCAUAGUUUGGCCGGCACCGAAGAUGCAUCUAGCCGAAGCCGAGGUAGAGAUCCACAACAAUAGAUAUAUUAAAUAGUAAUAUUUUUUAUUAGAAAAUAAUUCAAAUCUUUCUGGUGUUUAAUUGGAAGGAUCGUCGGAUUUUCUUCUAUCAGAGCCGCCAGACCAAGGUAGCUGCUCCUCCCUUCUUUUCUCUUUCCUUUUUUGUUGCCCGCAUCGCCGUCAUGCGGUGUUGAAC
rnacentral:lncRNA from 1 species